GGGCUGCGGUAAUUUGACCGUGCUAAGGUAGCAUAAUCAAUAGUCUUCUAAUUAAAGACUGGAAUGAAUGGUGUGACGAAAAGUAAGCUUUUUUAAAAAUAUAAAUUGAAUUUUACUUUUAAGUGAAAAGGCUUAAAUUUUACUAAGGGACGAUAAGACCCUAUAAAACUUAAUAAUAAUUACCUAUUUUAGUUAUAAAGUUAAAAAUUAACUGAUUAGUUUUUAUUUAGUUGGGGUGACUAAGAUAUAAAGAAUAGCUGUCUGAUUUAGAUUAAUAAAAAUACUUUGUUAUAAAAUCCUUUAUUAAAGAUUUAAAACUAAGUUACUUUAGGGAUAACAGCGUAAUUUUUUCUGAGAGUUCUUAUCGAAGAAAGUAGUUGCGACCUCGAUGUUGAAUUAAAAUUUUUAAUGAACGCAGCAGUUCAAAAAAUAGGUCUGUUCGACCUUUGAAAUUU
rnacentral:rRNA from 1 species